rnacentral:rRNA from 1 species
GAACNCNGGCGNCAUNCUUUACACAUGCAAGUCGAACGGUAACAGGUCUUCGGAUGCUGACGAGUGGCGAACGGGUGAGUAAUACAUCGGAACGUGCCUGGUAGUGGGGGAUAACUACUCGAAAGAGUAGCUAAUACCGCAUGAGAUCUACGGAUGAAAGCAGGGGACCUUCGGGCCUUGUGCUACCAGAGCGGCUGAUGGCAGAUUAGGUAGUUGGUGGGGUAAAGGCUUACCAAGCCUGCGAUCUGUAGCUGGUCUGAGAGGACGACCAGCCACACUGGGACUGAGACACGGCCCAGACUCCUACGGGAGGCAGCAGUGGGGAAUUUUGGACAAUGGGCGAAAGCCUGAUCCAGCAAUGCCGCGUGCAGGAUGAAGGCCCUCGGGUUGUAAACUGCUUUUGUACGGAACGAAAAGCCUGGGGCCAAUACCCCCGGGUCAUGACGGUACCGUAAGAAUAAGCACCGGCUAACUACGUGCCAG